rnacentral:hammerhead_ribozyme from 1 species
ACCCGGCUGAUGAGUCCUAAAUAGGACGAAACGCGUGUUCUGGAU